rnacentral:rRNA from 1 species
AGUUCGGAUUGGAGUCUGCAACUCGACUCCAUGAAGUUGGAUUCGCUAGUAAUCGCGCAUCAGCCAUGGCGCGGUGAAUACGUUCCCGGGCCUUGUACACACCGCCCGUCAAGCCAUGGAAGCUGGGGGUGCCUGAAGUUCGUAACCGUAAGGAGCGGCCUAGGGCAAAACCGGUGACUGGGGCUAAGUCGUAACAAGGUAGCCGUACCGGAAGGUGUGGCUGGAACACCUCCUUU